GGAAGUAAAAGUCGUAACAAGGUUUCCGUAGGUGAACCUGCGGAAGGAUCAUUACCUAGAGUUGUAGGCUUUGCCUGCUAUCUCUUACCCAUGUCUUUUGAGUACCUUCGUUUCCUCGGCGGGUCCGCCCGCCGAUUGGACAAUUUAAACCAUUUGCAGUUGCAAUCAGCGUCUGAAAAAAACUUAAUAGUUACAACUUUCAACAACGGAUCUCUUGGUUCUGGCAUCGAUGAAGAACGCAGCGAAAUGCGAUAAGUAGUGUGAAUUGCAGAAUUCAGUGAAUCAUCGAAUCUUUGAACGCACAUUGCGCCCCUUGGUAUUCCAUGGGGCAUGCCUGUUCGAGCGUCAUUUGUACCUUCAAGCUCUGCUUGGUGUUGGGUGUUUGUCUCGCCUCUGCGCGCAGACUCGCCUCAAAACAAUUGGCAGCCGGCGUAUUGAUUUCGGAGCGCAGUACAUCUCGCGCUUUGCACUCAUAACGACGACGUCCAAAAGUACAUUUUUACACUCUUGACCUCGGAUCAGGUAGGGAUACCCGCUGAACUUAAGCAUAUCAAUAAGCGGAGGA
rnacentral:rRNA from 1 species